CCCUUAGAUGUCCUGGGCCGCACGCGCGCUACACUGACAUGUUCAACAAGUUUCUCCUAGUUCGACAGGACUGGGAAAUCUUUGAACGCAUGUCGUGAUAGGGAUAGAUCAUUGCAAUUAUUGAUCUUGAACGAGGAAUUCCUAGUAAACGCGAGUCAUCAGCUCGCAUUGAUUACGUCCCUGCCCUUUGUACACACCGCCCGUCGCACCUACCGAUUGAAUGUUUCGGUGAAGAUUCCGGAUAGGACUGAUUUGAUUUAUUUCAUUUUUGACCUAAAAGCUAUCUAAACCUCAACAUUUAGAGGAAGGUGAAGUCGUAACA
rnacentral:rRNA from 1 species